rnacentral:rRNA from 1 species
UACGGGGGGAGCAAGCGUUGUUCGGAUUUACUGGGCGUAAAGGGCGCGUAGGCGGCCACCGCAAGUCGACUGUGAAAUCUCCGGGCUUAACCCGGAAAGGUCAGCCGAUACUGCGGGGCUAGAGUGCAGAAGGGGCAACUGGAAUUCUCGGUGUAGCGGUGAAAUGCGUAGAUAUCGAGAGGAACACCUGCGGCGAAGGCGGGUGCUGGGCUGACACUGACGCUGAUGUGCGAAAGCGUAGGGGAGCGAAACGGG